GACGAACGCUGGCGGCGUGCUUAACACAUGCAAGUCGAACGGAAAGGCCCUGCUUUUGUGGGGUGCUCGAGUGGCGAACGGGUGAGUAACACGUGAGUAACCUGCCCUUGACUUUGGGAUAACUUCAGGAAACUGGGGCUAAUACCGGAUAGGAGCUCCUGCUGCAUGGUGGGGGUUGGAAAGUUUCGGCGGUUGGGGAUGGACUCGCGGCUUAUCAGCUUGUUGGUGGGGUAGUGUCUUACCAAGGCUUUGACGGGUAGCCGGCCUGAGAGGGUGACCGGCCACAUUGGGACUGAGAUACGGCCCAGACUCCUACGGGAGGCAGCAGUGGGGAAUAUUGUACAAUGGGCGGAAGCCUGAUGCAGCAACGCCGCGUGCGGGAUGACGGCCUUCGGGUUGUAAACCGCUUUCGCCUGUGACGAAGCGUGAGUGACGGUAAUGGGUAAAGAAGCACCGGCUAACUACGUG
rnacentral:rRNA from 1 species